ACAGAAUUAGAGCUUCAAUUAACACUUCUUUUUUUUUCCCUCUAUUUAAACGGAAGGCUGCCCUGUACAAACCACAGAGACUUGUUGGCAAGCCAGCCUACAUACAUUCCUGAGCCGAAGAGUACACUGCAAUAGCAAUAUCUGAAAGAGCACAUAUGCCUCGAGCACCAUUGGAAAUAAGGAUUUUUUAGGACUUGUCUUUUUGUCCUGGAAUUAAUUGCCAUUAAUGGCCAGUUGCCAUUAUUCUCUCCUACUGUCUUUGUCCAGUUUCCAUUGAAGUCCAAGCUUGGAGGAAAAGUGGAGCAGUGCGCAUUAAUAGAUGGAAAAGUAAAGCAAGACAUGCUUCUCUCAUUGCAAAGAUGGCAAUAUGCAAACAGAAGACAGAGAGUCUGGCUAUUAAUCAGACCAGCUGGCAACUUCUCCCAUUUUCAAGAAGAAAGAGUUAAGGAUAAAUAAAUCAGGUCCUCAUCUAGUGUUUGAGUUUUCAUUUGAGACAGCACCUCUGAUGUAGAACAGACUUGCUAGUGUCUUCCACCUAUGUGACCUUGCAUACAGUUGGGAUUUUUUCCUUUAAGUUUUGGUAGAAAUCAUGGAAGCAGAUGGCUUGGGACAGCAUCUGCAGGUGGUUAUACCAGUUAGCUCAGAAGUGAAAGGAACUUGUUCUCAUAACUGAUCUGCAGGUGGAACUGGAAAAAGAUUCUUGAAAGAAAAGGACUUAAAAAUGUGGGUUCUGCUUUUUGCCUUAUUCUCUUAAUUUAAGCAUGUUCAAACAGAAAAAAAAAAAAAAAGAAAAAGAAAAAAAAAAGGAUUCCUGUUGGAGUUUCUGAACAAUGUUUUUGACAAGAGUAUGGUUGAUCAAAAGUGGAGCCAGUUAGCCGGUUGCAAGAGUGUACAAGAACACAAAGUCCAUUUUCACUCCAGAACUGCAUGCUCAAUUUAGGAAUAAAUGCAUCUAUCAGGAACUGGCAGGCCUUUCUUCACAUUGUUACCUGUUUUUUAUUUUGCUUUUGCUUCACUUCAUACACUAAUAAACAGGAGAGCACCAGAGUUGCAGAGAGUUGCAAAGGAAUGACCAAGGA